rnacentral:rRNA from 1 species
UCAGACGAUGCGUCAUGCAUAUCAAUAAGCGGAGGAAAAGAAACUAACAAGGAUUCCCUUAGUAACGGCGAGUGAAGCGGGAAGAGCUCAAAUUUGGAAUCUUAAAGGGUUUCCCUUUACGAAUUGUAGUUUAAAGAAGUGUUUUCUGUUAGAGUUUCGGUAAAAGUUCUUUGGAAUAGGACAUCAUAGAGGGUGAGAAUCCCGUAUUUGACCGUUAUUUCUAGCUUUGUGAUACACUUUCAAAGAGUCGGAUUGUUUGGGGAUGCAGUCCAAAAUGGGUGGUAAAUUUCAUCUAAAGCUAAAUAUUGGCGAGAGACCGAUAGCGAACAAGUACCGUGAGGGAAAGAUGAAAAGAACUUUGAAAAGAGAGUUAAACAGUACGUGAAAUUGUCAAAAGGGAAGCGUUUGACACCAGUGUUGUUUUCUCGAAAAUCAAUUAAAAAAGGCAGGAUUUUGUGUUGUAUUGACUUUAUCAGCUUUCUGCACUCUUUUCUUGUCUUUUUUUAAUGCACUUUUCGUUUAACAAGUCAACAUCAAUUUCUUUUGUUGUAAAAGGGUCAUUGGAAGGUGGCUUUCUUUUCGGAGAAAGUGUUUAUAGCCUUUGGCCUCUGCAAUCGGAGAGAUUGAGGUCUGCAGCGUAGAUCCUUCGGGGUUAGAUACAUUUGUGCUAAGUUAUAGUAUUUUAUAGACAACUUGUUGACUAUAAUUUAUCCUGUAGCUUACUCGCUUAUGCUAUUUUACCUACGCUUAGGAUGUUGAUCUACAGAGCGAGAGU